rnacentral:rRNA from 1 species
UACGUAGGGGGCGAGCGUUGUCCGGAUUUAUUGGGCGUAAAGAGCGCGCAGGCGGUCGAUCAAGUCGCGUGUGAAAGCCCCCCGGCUCAACUGGGGAGGGUCACGCGAUACUGAUCGACUCGAAGGCAGGAGAGGGUAGUGGAAUUCCCGGUGUAGUGGUGAAAUGCGUAGAUAUCGGGAGGAACACCAGUGGCGAAGGCGACUACCUGGCCUGUUCUUGACGCUGAGGCGCGAAAGCUAGGGGAGCAAACGGG